UGGCUAGGGCAGCAAUGCUAGAAAUAGCACUGAAAAAUGUAAACACUGUUUACAACUCUGUUUAUAAAAGCUUCUGGGAAAAGGAUUGGGAAGUGUAAAAACAAGGCAUUCAACAUCUUUGAGAAGUGCUAAUCGCCUGGGCUUUCUUACACUACUGAAUAAACUGUAGGAAAAAUCUAGUUCCAGUAGCUCCAUACAUUUACAUGUCAAAAGGGGAACUGACAGCUUUGUUUGCACACACAGUAUGUUUAGAGGAAAUGCUAACAAAGUUUUUAUCUUGGUUAUAAAUGCCUAAUUUUUUUCUGUAUUAUUUCAUGGUUUAAUACGUUAUAUGAGCAGUCGCAGGGACAGUAAUCGUAACAAGAAGCUUAUGAAGACUAUGAUAUUGUUUAAAAUGAUUAACAAAGUUUUACCUCUGGAGGUU